rnacentral:lncRNA from 1 species
UUGGAUCAUGGACAAUCACGCACUACAAAUGGGAAUAAUCACUAAUCUAAUGAAUUGAGAGACACUCAUGAUAUGUAAGCUAGAAUAAAAAAGUAAUUUCAAAUAACCAAAUUGGAGAAAGUCACGAAGUAUAUAUCAAUUGGGUGGCACGAAACGCGAGGGAUGUGGAGAUAGCAGGCAAUUCAACACUAGUGACAAUUACGUUUUGGGUCGAGGGAAGCAAAAGAGGUGGUCCCAGCAGCAUUGCCUUACAGGGGACGUGGAAAGCUAUGAGAAGAUCGGCAAUGUGCAAAUUGAAGGGGUCACUAGUGGUUCAUUAAACGACUACUCGGUUUUGAAGAUUUGUUCAUCUUGAUCUUCAUCUCCUUCUUUGGGACAGUCACAAAAAAAAGGAAGCAUUUGAGAACUGAAUCUCUUCUUCUAAGAAACACCUUGUCAGACAGUGUCAUCAAAGAACUGUAUAUUCUCAUUUAACACAGGCUGGAAUGGAGUAUUUAGAACUUAGAUGGGUUCUGGAUAGAUGAAUUUAUGCUUCAAGGUUCGACAGAGAGAACAAAGUGGUGGUUGUGAUCAUGCAGGGAACAAGUAGAGGGGGAAAUAAAUCACGUCUUAUUGGUUUUUGGUUAUCGGGCCAAUGCUUUUACUUUGUGCUUUUGGUUCUCAUUGGUUGGUGUGGGGAUUUUAUGGCUAGAUAUAGCAUAAUGUGUUUUUUUGUAGUAAACUGGUUACUAUUUUGUACGUGCAUUUAUGAGCAUAAAUUUGUAGUAAAGUAACCAAUUUAGAGGAU